rnacentral:rRNA from 1 species
CACGUAGGGGGCAAGCGUUGUCCGGAUUUAUUGGGCGUAAAGAGCUCGUAGGCGGCUCAGUAAGUCAGGUGUGAAACCUCCAGGCUCAACCUGGAGACGCCACCUGAUACUGCUGUGGCUUGAGUCCGGUAGGGGAGCGUGGAAUUCCUGGUGUAGCGGUGAAAUGCGCAGAUAUCAGGAGGAACACCAGCGGCGAAGGCGGAUCUCUGGGCCUUACCUGACGCUGAGGCGCGAAAGCUAGGGGAGCGAACAGG